rnacentral:lncRNA from 1 species
GGGCUUUUUUUUCCUUGCCUUCUUUUCCCCCUCUCCCACCCCCUUCUCUCUGCUGCUCCCCGCGACCUGCGAUUUCCUGGGGGUCCGGAACUCUGGACCCAAGGCACCGGUCACCCCCUCAGGACGGCUCCUAGCUCAUCUGAGAAGCCCCUGUGCCCAUGUCCACCCAUAAGCAGAUGGCCUCCCCCCAACCAUGAGGAUUUUUUAAUGGGGUGAAAAUGCCAGUCCCCGAAGCCAGGGUUCUCGGACCCCCAGGGCCGAGCUGGGCGCGGGAGCCCCGCAGGGGCGGGGAGGCCGACCGAGUCAGUUCGGAACGUGGCUUUUAAAAAUGCGUUUUUAAAUAGUGGCUUGAAGAAGUGUAGGAGAGAUCUACACAACUUAAGUGGGGCGUCCCCAUCCCAUCUUCCUGCGCACCCUCCUUUGCCCCCAACUCCAUCUCUGCGACACUUCCCCACCCCCACUCCCCCCAAAAAGUCGCUCCCGGGCUCUGUCUGCAGAGAGCCAGGGUGAGAGCGGGCAAGGCAAAAGAGCGACCUCGGUCGUGGGCAAGUAGCUUGUUUUUACGUCCCUCAAUAAAAUUUUUAUGAGGAUC